AUAUAUAAACCCAUGUUUUGUCACACAAAUCUCAAUAUACAAACAUAACUUCUUCAUUGUUAUACUAUUUCCAAAAAAUCAUUGUCAAUCGUGAUGAUGAAUACUAAAACAUCAAUUAUUUUCUUUAUGGUGAUUCUCUUAGUGAGCACGUCAUCGUGAAGGCAAUACAACUCCCAUCAACUAUGAUGAAUCACUAUAUUUGUCUAUACAAUCAUAAUGAUCCAAGUUGUAAUAUGAAAGUCGUGAUUCCUAGAGAAGCUGCUAAUCCUUAUUCUCGUGGUUGUGAACCUAUUCUUCGUUGUCGAGGUGGGCCGCCAACCAUGAUUGGAAUCUAAAGAGUGAAAGCAAAUUUCUUUUGAUUUACAUUGUACUAUUGGCAUCGAAUAAUUAUUUAUCAUAUG
rnacentral:lncRNA from 1 species